CUUUAUUGCCAGCCCUCCUCGGUGCCAACAUGGCUUUGUCUUACUCUGGAGAUGUCUGUGAGAACGGGGACGAGGACGGGCAAAGUGUCAGGCUCUUGAUGCCGCUGAAAAUCCUUUGAGAUGGGAGAAAUUGCUGAAACAAAGGCACAGCGAACAAAAAGGCCUGAAAGGCUCGCACCAGCCUCUGAGGGUCUUUAUCAUCUUAAACCUUGGGAUUUAGAGUGUCUAGCUUCUGCCUUUCCCAGGGAUAGUUUGGCAGGGAUACGAAAAGAGCUAAAAGAGCGGGCCCAGGAAACUGGUUGGAUGACAGCCUCAGAACAGAGAAGUCCCUGGGAGACAAAGUCUGGUUAAACAUUGCAGGGGUUUUUCUUGCUCCCUUC
ensembl:lincRNA Gm28746 predicted gene 28746